rnacentral:rRNA from 1 species
UUAGCAUAUCAAUAAGCGGAGGAAGAAGAAACCAACCGGGGAUUGCCUCAGUAACGGCGAAGUGAAGCGGCAAGAGCUCAAAAUUUGAAAAGCUGGCCCCCUCCCGGGGUCCGCGUUGUAAUUUGCAGAGGAUGCUUUGGGUGCGGCCCCCGUCUAAGUGCCCUGGAACGGGCCCGUCAGAGAGGGUGAGAAAUCCCCGUCUUGGGCGGGGUGUCCCGUGCCCGUGUAAAAGCUCCUUCGACGAGUCGAGUUGUUUGGGAAAAUGCAAAGCUCUAAAUGGGUGGUAAAAUUUCAUCUAAAAGCUAAAAAUACUGGCCGGAGACCGAUAGCGCACAAAGUAGAGUGAUCGAAAGAUGAAAAAAAGCACUUUGAAAAGAGAAAGUUAAAACAGCAAACGUGAAAAAUUGUUGAAAAGGGAAAGGCGCUUGCGACCAGGACUUCGCCCUCGGGGGUUCAGCCGGCAACUUCGUGCCGGUGUACUUUCCCCGGGGGCGGGCCAGGCGUCAAGCUUGGGGGCGGCCGGUCAAAAGGCCUUUCCGGAAAUGUAAGGUGCCCCCCCGGGGCACCUUAUAAGCCGGAAGGGUGCAAAUGCGGCCAGCCUGGGGCUGAAGGAAAACGCGGGCUUCGGCACGGACGCUGGCAUAAUGGUCGCAAAACGGACCCGUCUUGAAAAACACGGACCAAGGAGUCUAAAACAUCUACGCGAGUGUUCGGGUGUCAAACCCGUACGCGCAGUGAAAGCAAACGGAGGUGGGAGCCCCCUCGGCGGGGCGGCAACCAUCGAACCGAUCCUGAUGUCUUCGGAUGGAUUUGAGUAAGAGCGUAAAUGUGGGGACCCGGAAAGAUGGUGAACUAUGCCUGAAUAGGGCGAAGCCNGAGGAAACUCUGGUGGAGGCUCGCANCGGUUCUANCGUNAAAAUCGAUCGA